rnacentral:rRNA from 1 species
AUUGAACGCUGGCGGCAGGCCUAACACAUGCAAGUCGAGCGGAUGAAGGGAGCUUGCUCCUGGAUUCAGCGGCGGACGGGUGAGUAAUGUCUAGGAAUCUGCCUGGUAGUGGGGGAUAACGUCCGGAAACGGGCGCUAAUACCGCAUACGUCCUGAGGGAGAAAGUGGGGGAUCUUCGGACCUCACGCUAUCAGAUGAGCCUAGGUCGGAUUAGCUAGUUGGUGGGGUAAAGGCCUACCAAGGCGACGAUCCGUAACUGGUCUGAGAGGAUGAUCAGUCACACUGGAACUGAGACACGGUCCAGACUCCUACGGGAGGCAGCAGUGGGGAAUAUUGGACAAUGGGCGAAAGCCUGAUCCAGCCAUGCCGCGUGUGUGAAGAAGGUCUUCGGAUUGUAAAGCACUUUAAGUUGGGAGGAAGGGCAGUAAGUUAAUACCUGGCUGUUUUGACGUUACCAACAGAAUAAGCACCGGCUAACUUCGUG